rnacentral:rRNA from 1 species
AAUGUACCGGGGCUAAACAUAUUACCGAAGCUGUGGAUUGUCCUUUGGACAAUGGUAGGAGAGCGUUCUAAGGGCGUUGAAGCAUGAUCGUAAGGACAUGUGGAGCGCUUAGAAGUGAGAAUGCCGGUGUGAGUAGCGAAAGACGGGUGAGAAUCCCGUCCACCGAUUGACUAAGGUUUCCAGAGGAAGGCUCGUCCGCUCUGGGUUAGUCGGGUCCUAAGCUGAGGCCGACAGGCGUAGGCGAUGGAUAACAGGUUGAUAUUCCUGUACCACCUAUAAUCGUUUUAAUCGAUGGGGGGACGCAGUAGGAUAGGCGAAGCGUGCGAUUGGAUUGCACGUCUAAGCAGUAAGGCUGAGUAUUAGGCAAAUCCGGUACUCGUUAAGGCUGAGCUGUGAUGGGGAGAAGACAUUGUGUCUUCGAGUCGUUGAUUUCACACUGCCGAGAAAAGCCUCUAGAUAGAAAAUAGGUGCCCGUACCGCAAACCGACACAGGUAGUCAAGAUGAGAAUUCUAAGGUG